CCUACCGGAGGCAGCAGUAGGGAAUAUUGGUCAAUGGGUGAGAGCCUGAACCUAGCCAUGCCGCGUGCAGGGAAGACUGGCCUUCUGGGCUUGUAAACUGCUUUUAUCUGGGGAUAAAAAGGCCCAUGCGUGGGACAUUGAAAGGUACCAGAUGAAUAAGCACCGGCUAACUACGUGCCAGCAGCCGCGGUAAUACGUAGGGUGCAAGCGUUGUCCGGAUUUAUUGGGUUUAAAGGGUGCGUAGGCGGUCUAUUAAGUCAGUGGUGAAAUCCAACAGCUCAACUGUUGAUGUGCCAAUGAUACUGAUGGACUUGAGUACAGACGAGGUAGGCGGAAUUGACAGUGUAGCGGUGAAAUGCAUAGAUAUUGUCAAGAACACCGAUAGCGAAGGCAGCUUGCUAGCCUGUAACUGACGCUGAGGCACGAAGGUAUGGGGAUCAAACAGGAUCUAGAUACCCUGGUAGUCCAUACAGUAAACGAUGAUUACUCGAUGUUGGGCGAUACACAGUCCAGCGUCUUAUCGAAAGCGAUUAAGUUAUCCCACCUGGGGGAGUACGCUGGCU
rnacentral:rRNA from 1 species